rnacentral:misc_RNA from 1 species
AAGACUAUAGACCUGCGGAGUACCUGCGGAAGGAUCAUUAUCGAACGAUCAUCCUUGAUCUUUCUUACCCUCAAACCACUGUGGAACACAAACACGUGCUUCGGCGUCGACCCGGCGCCGCAUUUAUGCUUCAACAAUGCCCUUUUUAGUCUGAACAGAAAUCUAAGUGUAAAAACUUUCAGCAACGGAUCUCU